rnacentral:misc_RNA from 1 species
GGAAAUGGGAAUUCCAACGACAUCUUACCUCAUCAGACCAAGGAAAAACACGUAUAUAUCAAAGAAUAGUAAGCUCAAAACUCCAAACAAGAAUUUCAUACUGAUACAUUAAUUAAAACAAGUAGUUGGCAAAUUCUCUCAAGAGUAAUUAAAAGUCGGAAUAAGACAUGGCGGGCCAAAAGAAGCUAUGAAACUCAGCAGUAAGAACUAAACCCAACAGAGAACUAAUAAUCAUCAUGUUCAGGUUCUUGAAAAUAACCUUCACUUCCAUGCAUAAUCUAAACUGACUUUGUACAUCAUGUUAAUAUAUUUAGUAACAUUACAGAACAGAUUAUAAGCUACUAAACAAACCAACUACUGCAUCACAAAGCUGUUUAAGUGAUUAAUGGAAAAAGGAACUUCACAAAAAAUAGACUCCAAAUUAGUGUUUCCAUUGACCAUGAACAUAAACCAUGCAUUUAGAAAAGAAGAAUGAGAUUUUAAACUGCACUGGUAUCAAAUCACAAAUCAUAAAAGGCACAACCAAAUGCAAGUACAAGGCCAACCU